AUGCCGAGCAUAUCGCAUCGCAGUAGCCCAGAUCCCAUGCCGUCCGCCGGAGCUCCUCCACCUCUGCUGGCGGCGCCCCAUUCCUCCCCCCGAGAGGCGCAGGCCGUCCUUCUUCCUCAUCCCGGGCCUUUUGCCGCACCGCCACCGCGCAGCUCGACGGGAUGCUGCCCUGCUAGACAGUGGAGGAGAUCGGACUUGCGGUUAUCGCAGAGGGGGAGGAGGAAGGUCGAUGUCGCGGAAGAGUCGUCGAUUGUCUUUUCCCGCGACGGCGGAGGGGCGGAGGUCGUCAACAAGGAGGAGAAGGGUGUCAAGAAUCUCCACAUGAAGAUAUCCUUGAGCAAUGGAAGCAAAUGCUUUUGUUUCAUCAACGGGAACAUCGGUUCUCAAGAGGUGAGGGUGCCAUUGGUCCAUGGAACAACCAGCAUGUUGUUUCCAGAUGCUUUUGUUGAAUUUGAAGCUGUGGUUGGCUUCUCAUGGUUGUUUUUCAGAUUCUUCAAGUUGGACAUGAUAGCACUAGAGUGGUCGUCCCUCCAUGACCAGGAGUUGGAUCACAUCAACUGUUUCCUUUACAAGGGCCAGUCUAUCCAGGCGAAGGAGGAAGGCAAGAUCAAAGUCGUUGUGGCCGGCCGGUCACGACGCGCGGAAACGACCGAGUGCCUUACCUCUUGCUGGCCAGUUCAUACCCUGUAA
rnacentral:rRNA from 1 species